rnacentral:rRNA from 1 species
UGAGCAAUCUGCCCUUCUCAUCGGAAUAAGCGUUGGAAACGACGUCUAAUGCCGAAUACGACCUCCUUUCGCAUGAUCGGAGGUGGAAAGCUCCGGCGGAGAAGGAUGAGCUCGCGGCCUAUCAGCUAGUUGGUGUGGGUAAUGGCCCACAAGGCGACGACGGGUAGCCGGCCUGGAGAGGGUGACCCGGCCACACGUGGGACUGAGACACGGCCCAGACUCCGUACGGGAGCAG